ensembl:lncRNA
GGAUGACUCUUUAUUCUACCUAGUUUAGAUGGUUUUGAUUGACCUAGCUCAAAAUUCACCGGGUGUCAGCCGUAGGAUUGCGGCACUUCCUGGGAGCCUCCGAGCCACACGUUAAUCGACUAAUCGUUCCUGCAGUGUUCUGAGGUGGUAACGGUUGGGCUCAUGGGGAGGCCCCGGGAGAGUUGUCAUUCGCGGGCUCACACGGGGAGAAAUCGGGUAGGUCAGUAAGUCAGAAGGUUGAAUUAAUGUAUCGAUUUGAUGUUGACCAACAAAAAACUAGAUAAUUAUAAUAAUAAAUACUGUUCAUGUAAUGGUAUAGUUAGGUCUGGGACCUGCGUAGCUAAAAAAACUGUUUUGGAAAUAGUAAUGAACGUGUCCGGGACAUGUAUAGCUAUAAAAUAAGUAAAGAUAAAACUGGGUUUUACUUUACUUCACUUUGCUAAGACAUAUUCACGUUUGAUGUGGUAUGCAGAAAGUGGCGCGAUAGGAUGUUGUGCAGAGAAUAAGGCGUAUUCACGUUUGAUAUGGUAUGCGAUGUACAUAGGAGUGAAUCAAAGUGUGGACAACAUCAAAUGCGAGCAAUAGGUAGAAUAAAUGAAGAUUAGGUCAUCCAAUAUACAUAGUUAGUGUAGGACAAUCGGGUAGUAUGAUGAAGGUAACUGUUAUUAUGAGAUACGGUUAACACAGAAGUGAUAUUGAACAUGCAAAUUUUAACAUUGUUAUUUCCCUUUUACAUCUUUUUGGUUAUAGCAACUUGGUUACACUACGGUGUUGUUAGCUUUGGUUGUCAUUCAAUGCACAUGGCUGAAGCAAUGCGCAAGGAGGGAUGUAGUGUGAAAUUAAACCAAAGUAGAUACUGUAAAACAAUUAAAAUUAGAAUUCAUGGAAAUAUGUUUUUGAACAACUAACUGCUGUACAUGAGUUUGUAUUUCUGCAAUAGAAGCAAAAAGUUCCAGAACCAGAUGCAGACACACCCGGAGCCUACAAACUACCACCGCCGAGCAAGGACUAACAGUCACAUGAGGAGAUCAAAUAACAGCAGGAUUUGAAUCGCACCGGAUGGGUUGGUGGCCAGGGCGCUGGUAUGAUUACAAUCCCUCAGGCCACCUGUUGCUGACACGACGACGACGGAGAACCUGUUUGGAGGCUCCCAUGAUGUAGGAGUAACCUCUCUGAGUUGAGCCCUUGACAAGGAGGGACGAGUCUUGGGUUCAUGAACUAAAGGCCCGACGGCGACAGAAUCCAUGCCCAAACCACCCACAUGCAACAGCGAACCAAUGCACGAAGAUCACCUGAAC